CAGCAACCUAGAAAGAUGAAAUAGAAUGUGAAUGGAGAGCGCACCCACAACAGAGGCGCACAAGUUCAACGGUGCCAAUCCAUGGGCAAGCCACUCCUGCUGUCUCUGUGGAAACAUUUUCUGUGUGGGAACUCAUCCCGGAGCACAGUGAGCAAUCCAACAGAGUCAGGCAAAUGCUCAGCUCCCUUACGUUGUCCGCUCGUUGUAUGAGACGGGGAGAAAGGUUUUUUGUUUUUUGUUUUGUUUUGUUUUUUAUCAACCCCGCUUCCUCUCCACUGCACUUUGGAAACCGAGAAUUCAAAACCAUUUCCUAAAACACAAGACUCUCAUUCAUCGCUUUCAUAAACACAACGGCUCUGCUGAUUACCGUGGAAAAGUCAAACCAACGUUGGCCUAAAUGAAAGCCACCUGUGAGUCCAACUCUCCGUCUGCCCGCCCCAGCUGUUGGACGGAAGGCAUCGCCUUCUUUCUGGACAGUCCUUUCAGUCCUCCGGAAGCUGCAUCUGGACGCUGUCGAUGAAAUCCUCUUCUGGGUCCACCUCAGCAGGCGCUUCCCUCAGGCACUCGUGCCUCAGGAGUCUGGCAAAUGUGAGCCUAACAGUUCUCUGCUUUUUCCAAGCACACAGGGCCGGAGCGCUGGCAGGUUCUCAGGCAGGCUGUUCUCCAUAAGUCACCGUGAGUCGUGCGCUGUGUGGCUAUAGUUUUUCUGUUUUUAUUCAUUUAUUAUACUUAUAUAUUUGUUUGUUUAUAGAUUUAUUUUACACAUUUAUUUCCUCAGAUAACUGCACAGAGUACCCUUUAAAAAUUUUUUUACAGUUAUAUAGCCAUAGUGUUUCCUGACAUAGAUUGCAAUAUUAAUAGAGUAAUAAUUUUGGUGAUUAAACUUUUAAAAUGUACAUGUUAGAAAAAUGAGUUAUACUUAGGCUUAACCUCUUAUUGAUAAUGUACUUAAGUUCGUCUGUGAUAUUCUUAAAGACAAAAGUAUUUCAACGUAUAAAACUUAUUAUGUGUAGGCCAUUACAAAUGUCUUUUUAGUUAAGAUGAUAAUGCCACCUCAAGGUUAGAAAGAGAACCACAGAAUAACAGAAGAGAAAAUAAACUAUCUAGCCUAGCUCUCCAGAAACAUGAAGGUUUAAAUAGUAAAAUUACAUAAAAAAGAUGUAAAAAUUAAGAAAACACAUGAGGCUAUUACAAUGGCUUAUCUAUAGAAAAUGAGCACACACACACACACACAAAUAAGCAAUAUGGCCUCUGUAAAAAAAAAAAAAAAAAGAAAAGAAACUGUUUUACAGUUUUUCAGUGUGAUGGUUUAUAGAUGCUCAGCCCAGAGAGUGGCACUAUUAGGAAGUGUGGCCCUGUUGGAGUAGGUGUGUCACUGUGGGUGUGGGCUCUAAGACCCUCAUCAUAGCUGCCUAGAAGUCAGUAUUCUGCUAGCAGCCUUCAGAUGAAGAUGUAGAAUUCUCAGCUCCUCCUGCACCAUGCCUGCUUGGAUGCUGCCAUGUUCCCACUUUGACGAUAAUGGACUGAACCUCUGAACCUGUAAGCCAGCCCCAAUUAAAUGUUGUCCUUUGUAAGACUUGCCUUGGUCAUGGUGUCUGUCCACAGCAGUAAAACCCAACUAAGACAAUCAAUUUUAAAAGGAACAUCAUCAAGAGGCUUGGAAGAAUAAAAUUCUGAUGACAUCACCACAGAUUGUCAGUGAGCCUGGGUUUAAGGGCUAUGCAGUAAAAGCAGGAAGGAGAGAGAGGACACAAGGGCCAGUCUGGGGAAAAGCACGAAGAAGUUGGUAGUGUUCACAGGGAGAGAAGGAAGAACCGGAUUGAGCAGGAAUUAUCAGGUACUGGAGGGACUUGAGGGUCUCAACCUGAACUACAGCAGGAGUUUGAUGUGGAAGAAGCUCGAGAGGAAGGUUGGCUUGGCCAUUUCACAUCAGCUAGACUGGACCCAGAAUGAUGGGAGGUGGGGGAAAGGGUCCAGUUAGAAAGGAAUUAUAAGAAUCUAGCAGACACUGGAAAUAGAGGCCGGGGUAGACACCGGACCCCACGGAGGAAGAACUACUUGCUCUAAAUGACUCUUUCACUUGAGGAGGAAAUCAGUGAGGUUUGUUAGAAAUCCUGAGAAACUGAGACAGGAACAGUAUGUCUGAAAAUUAAAAAAUGCUGCCUCUAUAUUCAAAAGGAGAUUCCAGCAAUAUACUUAAAAGCCAAGGAAAUCUGGAACCAGACCCACAUAAGUGGGUUUGCAUGAGCGGUUAUAUUUCCAAUGACUCACAAAUACGAUCUUAAGACCAGUCCUCAAGCGUAUAUGAAUACAGAUGUUCACUGCUGCACUACUUCUAACAGAUGUGUUUCAAGCAAAUCAAAUGUCUCUCAGUAAAGAAACAGAUGAAUAAAUUGCUAGCUAUCUACCCACGGUGGGUAGGGCUACCCCUGGGCAGGGAGUCCUGGGUGCUGUAAAAAAGCAGGCUGAACAAACGACGAGGAGCAAGCCAGUAAGCAGCCGUCUUCCAUGGCCUCUGCAUCAGCUCCUGCCCUCACUUCCCUGGAUAAUGAACUAUAAACUAGAAGAUGAAAUAAAUUCUUUCCUCUCCAAGUUAUUUUUGGUCAUGGUGUUUCAUCACAGCAAUGAUAACCCUAAUUAAGACAGAAAUUGGGACCAGGUUCAUGGGGUAUUGCUGCGACAGGCCCUGACAUGUUUUGGGGAGGAUUGUGAAAGGGUUUUGGAAUUUGGGGAUGGAAAAGCCAUUCAGUGCUCAGAGAUCAGUAGGCUGUUCUGUGGGAACUUAGAAAACAGUUCUGAGAGCAAAUGAUUGCUGAGGCCUCCAGAUAAUGGAGGUCUGGUGUGUGAGGUACUGAUGAAAAGUUUCAGACCAAUGGGGCCAUUUAAUAUUUUGAAUUAAGAAUCUGUGGUUCUGGGCAGCUGGGGCUGAAGAAUCAGCUGUGAUUAACAAGAGACCAGGACCACUGAGUGAAACCUUUGCUUUCCUGGAACAACUGAUGUUGGCCAACUGGGUCUGAGAAAUGAUCUGCGGUUAAGAAGAGACCAGAAUCCCUGAAGUUAAAUCUUCUGUCGCCGAGACAGUCUUACUCAGACUGAUGUCACUUGGCCACACUUCUGCUUCUGCCUCCUAAGUGUUCAGAAUUAUAAGUGGGAGUCACCACACUCAGCUGCACUGCCUAACCAGCAACCUCCAGGGAUCCUUGUCUCCACCUCCCCAGCACUCGGUUGUUCACACUGGGCUCGAGCUUACAAAGCAAGCACUCCAUCAACCGAGCUGUCACCUCAGCUCCUUAUUUUGUUGUUUGAUACAGAAUCUCACACCACAGCUGAUGCUGGCUUUGAACUCCCAACAGUCCUCUUGCUUCAGUCUUCUGAAUGAUGGGAUUACCAAUUCGUUUUAAAUUGGCAGAUAAAAACGCAUUUCCCAAGUCACCUGUGAACUGGGAAGCUGAGGAGCCAAUGCAGCCUUAAGAAGGAUGUUCCUUCCAACUCAUUAUCAAUACUCUUCCAUGGACACGACAGUGGGAAUUCCUAGGAGAGGUUGUAAAGCAAAGCAAAAGAAAGGUCUCUCUUCUCUACUCACCAUGAACAGAGGGGAAGGCAGAUGGACACAGACGCUAUUAACAAAUGCCCCAUUAGGGAGCAGACAUUUAGAAUAAUGUUCUGUAGCACAUCUUCCAUUUCACAGGCAGAUGAGAAAGCUGCCUAUAUGACUGGCUUUUAAUAAAGCGAUGCUCCACA